GUCUGGGAUACCACUUGGAAACAGGUGCUAAUACCGGAUAACAACAAUAGCUGCAUGGCUAUUGCUUAAAAGGCGGCGAAAGCUGUCGCUAAAGGAUGGACCCGCGGUGCAUUAGCUAGUUGGUAAGGUAAUGGCUUACCAAGGCGACGAUGCAUAGCCGAGUUGAGAGACUGAUCGGCCACAUUGGGACUGAGACACGGCCCAAACUCCUACGGGAGGCAGCAGUAGGGAAUCUUCCACAAUGGGCGAAAGCCUGAUGGAGCAACGCCGCGUGAGUGAAGAAGGUUUUCGGAUCGUAAAGCUCUGUUGUUGGUGAAGAAGGAUAGAGGUAGUAACUGGCCCCUAUUUGACGGUAAUCAACCAGAAAGUCACGGCUAACUACGUGCCAGCAGCCGCGGUAAUACGUAGGUGGCAAGCGUUGUCCGGAUUUAUUGGGCGUAAAGCGAGCGCAGGCGGAAAGAUAAGUCUGAUGUGAAAGCCCCCGGCUUAACCGAGGAAUUGCAUCGGAAACUGUGUUUCUUGAGUGCAGAAGAGGAGAGUGGAACUCCAUGUGUAGCGGUGGAAUGCGUAGAUAUAUGGAAGAACACCAGUGGCGAAGGCGGCUCUCUGGUCUGUAACUGACGCUGAGGCUCGAAAGCAUGGGUAGCGAACAGGAUUAGAUACCCUGGUAGUCCAUGCCGUAAACGAUGAGUACUAAGUGUUGGGAGGUUUCCGCCUCUCAGUGCUGCAG
rnacentral:rRNA from 1 species